GAUGAACGCUAGCGGCAGGCUUAAUACAUGCAAGUCGAGGGACAGCACAGGUAGCAAUACUGGGUGGUAACCGGCAAACGGGUGCGGAACACGUACACAACCUUCCUUUAAGUGGGGGAUAGCCCAGAGAACUUUGGAUUAAUACCCCGUAAUAUAGUUGAAUGGCAUCAUUUGAUUAUUAUAGCUACGGCGCUUAAUGAUGGGUGUGCGGCUGAUUAGAUAGUUGGCGGGGUAACGGCCCACCAAGUCUACGAUCAGUAGCUGAUGUGAGUGCAAGAUCAGCCACACGGGCAAUGGGACACGGGCCCGACUCCUACGGGGGGCAGCAGUAAAGAAUAUUGGUCAAUGGACGAAAGUCUGAACCAGCCAUGCCGCGUGAAGGAUUAAGGUCCUCUGGAUUGUAAACUUCUUUUAUUUGGGACGAAAAAGGGUCUUUCUAGGUCAACUGACGGUACCAGAUGAAUAAGCACCGGCUAACUCCGUGCCAGCCGCCGCGGUAA
rnacentral:rRNA from 1 species